GACGAACGCUGGCGGCGUGCUUAACGCAUGCAAGUCGAACGGAAAGGCCCUGCUUUUGUGGGGUGCUCGAGUGGCGAACGGGUGAGUAACACGUGAGUAACCUGCCCUUGACUGUGGGAUAACUUCAGGAAACUGGGGCUAAUACCGGAUAGGAGCUCCUGCUGCAUGGUGGGGGUUGGAAAGUUUCGGCGGUUGGGGAUGGACUCGCGGCUUAUCAGCUUGUUGGUGGGGUAGUGGCUUACCAAGGCUUUGACGGGUAGCCGGCCUGAGAGGGUGACCGGCCCCAUUGGGACUGACAUACGGCCCAGACUCCUACGGUAGGCAGCAGUGGGGAAUAUUGCACAAUGGGCGGACGCCUGAUGCAGCAACGCCGCGUGCGGGAUGACGGCCUUCGGGUUGUACCCCGCUUUCGCCUGUGACGAAGCGUGAGUGACGGUAAUGGGUAAAGAAGCACCGGCUAACUACGUG
rnacentral:rRNA from 1 species